rnacentral:rRNA from 1 species
GACGAACGCUGGCGGCGCGCCUAACACAUGCAAGUCGAGCGAAGCGGCGAACGGGUGAGUAACGCGUGAGGAACCUGCCUCUCACAACGGGAUAGCCUCGGGAAACCGGGAUUAAUACCGUAUGGUGAGAGAUGGCCUCGCGUCUGAUUGGUUAGUUGGUGGGGUAACGGCCUACCAAGACGACGUUCAGUAACCGGCAGGAGAGGGAGAACGGUCACAUUGGAGCUGAGACACGGUCCAAAAUCCUACGCGAGGCAGCAGUGGGGAAUCUUGCACAAUGGGGGGAACCUUGAUGCAGCGACGCCGCGUGAGCGAUGAAGGUUUUCGAAUCAUAAAGCUCUGUCCUAUGGGAAGCGGUACCAUAGGAGUAAGCACCGGCUAACUACGUGCCAGCAGCCGCGGUAAUUC